GGAGUAACAACCGUAGGUAACCGUAGCCCCGGGACGCGGGGGGAGUAACAUUUGGUAAACAGAUGCUAAUACCGCAUAACAACAAAAGACCACAUGGCUUUUGUUUGAAAGAUGGCUUUGGCUAUCACUCUGGGAUGGACCUGCGGUGCAUUAGCUAGUUGGUAAGGUAACGGCUUACCAAGGCGAUGAUGCAUAGCCGAGUUGAGAGACUGAUCGGCCACAAUGGAACUGAGACACGGUCCAUACUCCUACGGGAGGCAGCAGUAGGGAAUCUUCCACAAUGGGCGCAAGCCUGAUGGAGCAACACCGCGUGAGUGAAGAAGGGUUUCGGCUCGUAAAGCUCUGUUGUUGGAGAAGAACGUGCGUGAGAGCAACUGUUCACGCAGUGACGGUAUCCAACCAGAAAGUCACGGCUAACUACGUGCC
rnacentral:rRNA from 1 species